rnacentral:rRNA from 1 species
UACGAAGGGGGCUAGCGUUGUUCGGAUUUACUGGGCGUAAAGCGCACGUAGGCGGAUUGUUAAGUCAGGGGUGAAAUCCUGGAGCUCAACUCCAGAACUGCCUUUGAUACUGGCAAUCUAGAGUCCGGAAGAGGUGAGUGGAACUCCUAGUGUAGAGGUGGAAUUCGUAGAUAUUAGGAAGAACACCAGUGGCGAAGGCGGCUCACUGGUCCGGUACUGACGCUGAGGUGCGAAAGCGUGGGGAGCGAUCCGG